AUUUUCUUUUCUCUUGGUUCUCAAAACAAACAAAGGGCUAAAGACAUCUCUUCUCUUGUGAUCUUUUCUUACUUGAAAAAUUGUUCAUUCUUGUGGCCCUGAUGACAAUAAACUGACAGAGAAACAAGCAAUGAUAUUGACAUCAACCUAUUUUGAAGAAAAUUUUCACAAAGAAAUCCGCAAUGUGGCUGUUUUCUCAGAAAGAGAAAUUCUCUACUCCCAUCUUAUGCACUCACUCACCCCAGCUCCCAUGAAUUUUCUUGGAAACCUUUUCGGCCACCACCGCCUCCCUAUGAAUCCUACAAGCACCCAACAAAGCGGCCCAGAAUGCCUCAUCGGGCUUUAUCUCCAUCCUCAUCACCAAAUCCUCCGCCUCCUCCACCCUUCCCGCCCUCCCCAACAUAUCCACCAUGCAAGUAUAAUGUUCCAACCCAGGCUUUAACCCAAACCUCUCCUCCAUCAUCCCAAAAUACUCUUUCCCCUUCUCCACCAUCCCUCCAUGACUACAUGCACUCAAAACCGCAGUUAAACACACAGCGUCCACCCUAUUUCGCUCUUCCACCAUUCUCUCAAACAAGACCAACACCUCACCAACAUUUCCGUGCAUACCAUAUCCCGCCAUCAUCGUUGCCCAUGAAACCUCAUUCCUCACAGGCAUUCCAUCAAACACCUUCCUUGCUCCUUGUAAAUCCCCGCAUUUCGCAUACAUAUUAAUCAAAGCAUUCGAAUUUGCUAAUUCAGAAACAAACCCAUUGACUAAUACUAUCCCAUGGACCUGCAGCCCGAGUCUAAGGGCCGAUAACCCAGCACAAGACUUUAGCACGCUAGGCAAAGUGUGGCGAUCAAUGGGCUUAUUGGCACCGAGCAUGCGACGAAAAAAGGUAAGAGAGUGAGAAAAAAGGUUGAGAGAGGCGUAAGCUCUAAUGAGUGAAUUGAAAAGGAAAGUGGAUUGACGGUUGGUGAAGGUGAAGAGAAGAGUGGCUUGACGCAUUUGGGUGCAGGAGGCAUAGGCAGAAACGAGCUUUGAGCGAAUAAAUUCGUGGUGGUAAAUGCCACUGGUGAUUAACUGGGCGUGGAUUUGAAUGAGACGUUUUAGGUUCUUGGUGGAAAUGCAGGCGUCAAGGAGGGAAGCGUAGAAGGGAAUGGUGGACCUGGACUGUGGGGUGGGCAUAUGGCAAGAGAUUUAAGAGAGCAGAUAGGGAUGGUGCAGGAAGAGCGAUGAUCACAAAAGCAGCACUGUGCGACUGUUCUGCAAUUGCCACGCACGAUCUUGUUCUUCUCUCCUGACGAAAAAUUUUCUUGCAUAAAGAAAACCUAUACAUUUUUCGUUGAAGCAGCUAGAUUCGUAGUUUGAGAAGGAUAAUAAAAUAAUAGUAGUGCCUGAAUGACAUGUCGUCGCCGUGAAGGGUAAACGGACGGAGCGAUGCAAUAAUCCAACGAGAAAUAAUCCAAUAAUCUCGGCAGUGACUCAACUUUUUAAGGAUUAAUUUAUAAAAUAACGUAAUUUAAAAUAUUAUUUACAAAUAUAAUGCAAUUAUGAAACUAUUUAUCAAAAAUCAUUUGAAAAAAUAAUUUUAAAUAAUGUCUUAUCAUAUAAAAAUGCUUAACAAAAUUAUUUAAAAUGAUGUUUUUAAAAACAGUAUCAUAUCACAUUAAAUAUUACAAAAAUUAAAAAAAAAAUAUGUGUUGUUGUGGAGAUGAUUGUCAAUGUAGACCUUUAGGUUUUCUAUUGGGUCUUCCCUUUGCUUUUGUUGCUCUUCUUCUAUCUAUUGUUGGUGUUAUCAUAUGGAUUGUUGGAAUUACAUUGAGUUGUUUAUGUCCAUGCUGUAUUUGCGUAACAGUAUUGGUAGAAAUGGCUUUGGCAUUAAUUAAAGCACCCUUUUCGGUUAUGAAGUGGUUUACUGAACAAAUUCCAUGUUAGAAAAAAAAAUAUAUAUUUAAUUUUUUUUUAUG
rnacentral:misc_RNA from 1 species